rnacentral:rRNA from 1 species
CACGUAGGGCGCAAGCGUUGUCCGGAAUUAUUGGGCGUAAAGAGCUCGUAGGUGGCCUGUUGCGUCCGCUGUGAAAACUCAGGGCUUAACCCUGAGCCGGCAGUGGAUACGGGCAGGCUAGAGGUAGGUAGGGGAGAAUGGAAUUCCUGGUGUAGCGGUGAAAUGCGCAGAUAUCAGGAGGAACACCGGUGGCGAAGGCGGUUCUCUGGGCCUGACCUGACGCUGAGGAGCGAAAGCGUGGGGAGCGAACAGG